rnacentral:rRNA from 1 species
AGUGAACGCUGGCGGUAGGCCUAACACAUGCAAGUCGAACGGCAGCACAGUAAGAGCUUGCUCUUACGGGUGGCGAGUGGCGGACGGGUGAGGAAUACAUCGGAAUCUACUUUUUCGUGGGGGAUAACGUAGGGAAACUUACGCUAAUACCGCAUACGACCUACGGGUGAAAGCAGGGGAUCUUCGGACCUUGCGCGAUUGAAUGAGCCGAUGUCGGAUUAGCUAGUUGGCGGGGUAAAGGCCCACCAAGGCGACGAUCCGUAGCUGGUCUGAGAGGAUGAUCAGCCACACUGGAACUGAGACACGGUCCAGACUCCUACGGGAGGCAGCAGUGGGGAAUAUUGGACAAUGGGCGCAAGCCUGAUCCAGCCAUACCGCGUGGGUGAAGAAGGCCUUCGGGUUGUAAAGACCUUUUGUUGGGAAAGAAAAGCAGCAGGUUAAUACCCCGCUGUUCUGACGGUACCCAAAGAAUAAGCACCGGCUAACUUAGUG